GUCCACGCCGUAAACGUUGGGCACUAGGUGUGGGUUCCAACCAACGGAAUCCGUGCCGCAGCUAACGCAUUAAGUGCCCCGCCUGGGGAGUACGGCCGCAAGGUUAAAACUCAAAGGAAUUGACGGGGGCCCGCACAAGCGGCGGAGCAUGUUGCUUAAUUCGAUGCAACGCGAAGAACCUUACCUGGGUUUGACAUGCAGUGAAAAGCCGUAGAGAUACGGUGUCCUUCGGGGCGCUGCACAGGUGGUGCAUGGCUGUCGU
rnacentral:rRNA from 1 species